AUAGCAAUGAAUUAAUCUCCAGAUAUGUAUUUAACGUAAAUUACGUUCGUAACAACAAGGAUGUUCAUUUAUUAUCGAGAGUAGAUACACCGAUGCAACUUAAUAAUUCAUUGUAAUUAAUGCAGUCGGAACAUGCAAUUUUAGGUCGAUUCCGUAAUUUUCGUAAUAUUCAUGUACGUUACAUAUAAAUACAUUUUUAGCUGAAAUUUUCAUACUGUUCCUGUUUUCUCAGAUCCUGUAUAAAUCUGUGCAUAAAGGUUUAUGCAAAAGAAAACGGUUUUUCAGGUAUACCGGGACGAAUAUAUCUUAAAGAUGCAACAGUCGAGAAUGGAAGCGUUCGAAAGAGUAGAUUCUUUUGAAGCAUCGAACGAAAGCGAAGUAGAAUAGCGUAAAGCCGAGAGAACUCGAACCUCUCGAUAUGUACAGUCGAGGUCUAAGCUCGGGAUUAUCCCUUGACUACGAGUAUUAAGGAACAGGAUCGGAAAUUUGAAUCGACAUCGUGAAUUUGAGAUUUCGAAUGAACGAAUUUGAAGCCAAGAUGUUCUUGUAUCGAGAAAGUUCAAAGAUGUUCCUUCUCCAACCUUCGGUGAAAGAUUUCACGUGAUCUUUCGACACCAAAUUACAGGAAAAUCGAGAAUUGUCAAUUUGAAAUACGAAUCGAUUAAAAAAUACUCGAUUGUUAUAUCGAAGCGAUUACUAGUAAUCGCCUUUGCCGUGGAGAAAUAUGAUUGCCCUGAAGGUAGCUAAUUUUCUUUCUCUCUCAAUAUUUUAGUACCUCUUUUACGUCUCUAUCGAUAAUCUAAUCGAUAAUGGUCUCGAAUCGCAAACAAUUUCAGACGAGAAGCUGAAAUAUCGAGCUUGUUAGUCUAUCAAAUUGUUUAAUCGUUCUGUAAAUUUGAUGCGUCGCUAUGAGUUGUUGUUACGUAAUUACCAUUUCAAGAGAGUAAUAAAAGUAGUCUAUAACGUAGUUUUACGAUGCAAAUCAAUAAUAUCAGAAUGUGAACGUGAUAUAGACUUGCGAAGAUUUACAUGACAUACAUAGUUAUAACAAAUUGGAAACACGAUCUUAAUUUGCGAUUGCAAUGAGUAAUAAAUUAUAAUUGUAAGCUAUUAUCAUGGAACCAUAAAUUAUAGGUUAAGAUUGGAUAAAGUAUCAAAAUCUAUCGAUUCUUAUAAUAAAACUCUUUAUAGACACGAUAUAUAUUUCUAGAAGCACUGAAUUACUAUUUUUGAUUCAUUGGACAGGUGAAAUUUGGAAUGCGAGAUGUAAUGCGAAAGAAUUAGAAGCUUCUUCUUGUUCUUAUCUUUGGCUAAAGGGAUUGACUUUAUCGAGUUUUCCAUAGUACUCGAUUAAGCUUGAUUUUGAUUGCGUUUUCUUUUCGUGCAUUCUCGUCAAUAUUUCUUGGUUUCCUACCGACUACUUUUUCUUAUUAUUAUCGAUUUCUUGUCGUUUCAGUAUCGUUCUACCUUCGCGAAUAACUUGUUUUUCGAUCGAGUUCGUUCUACGUUUGAAUAUUCGAUGAUCGUUCUUGUUUAUCGAUCGUCUGGUAAAUCUAAAUUAAGCUACAAUUAGAUAACGUACAGUUGAGAGGACUUUGUUAACUGUACAAGUUCGGUCACGACGUGCUCACGGUUUCGACAAAUAACGCAGUUCGUUGUAACCCUAUCGACGCUAUGGAUCGUGACUGGAACUACUAACGGUUUACUCCGCUUAACGAGCGCUGAAUAACAUCGUGAGACGAUAUGUCUCCUUUUAUAUUACUUUAUUAAAACAAAUAGUUAAAAUUACGCUAGACUUGGACAAUUUUACGUACUGAUCUGUGUACACGCUAUGAGGAAAUUGAGUCUAAUGAGAUAGCCUCUUUAGACUAUGGAUCUUCCAAAGAAUAGAAAUUAGAAUGCGUUUAAAAAAGAAAUUUCUGAUAAAUGUUGGAAAUGGGCCGCACACAUUAAUAUUGAGAAAAACGGGGAUUGUAUCGGCAGAGCGCCAUCUAAGGAGUUUGAAAGUUGACGGCGAAAAUUUAACUGUACGGUUGCAACUACCGCGACACCUAUAUAUUUGAUGGAUUACGAUACAAAUCUGUCGUUCGUUUGCUUCGAUGCGCGACAAACUUGGAAAGCAACUACAUAUUUGUUUCUACUUCUUACUUGAACUUCUUGAUUCUAUAAAAAUUUUCAAUAUCUUUGCUACACGUCGGAGAUGGAAGUUUACCCGUUUCAAAACAAACGUGUUGAAAAGUUGCACGUAAUAUAAAACGUGUCUAGGAAAGAUAAACGCAAGUUGUUCGAUCCGACGUUAACCUAAAAGCACUGUUAUCGAUAUAUGUAGGUUCUGUCGUUUCAGUCUUAAAAAUUACAUUCAGUCUUUCGAAUUACAUACCAAUGAAAGCGUCGAUUCAAUUUUAGUGAAAACAGUGCUUCUCUUUUUAUUUUCUUUUCUUUCACGUCCACAUAUCUACGAUCUUACGUUUUUCGAUAUAAGAAAAUUCGGGUUUCAACUAAACCCGGUGGAUAGGAAAUUGUUGUCGAAAAAGUUUAACAAACAGUAUCAUUAAAUGUUAGAAAGCUAUUAAAAAACAAAUAAAAGCUUCAGAUAUAAAAAAAUGUUGUAAUUUGAUAAGAGUCAAAAUUUGUUCAUUCUUUGAGAAGCUUGGUUAGCUGCGAUUUUUAUCACAUAAUAUAUUUUGCAAAUGGAUGUUGCAAUCUAUGGUUAAAGAUAAAAUUCGAUUUACGCCAAGAGAUUCUGAGAAAUUAUGUAAUUUAAAUUGCAGCUGGUAGAUAUUUGGAAAAAUGAAAAUCUUAGUUCUAACUUUUUAAAACUAAGCAACUGCGUAUUUUGCAAACUUCUUAUCCAGAACUAAAUGGAGAAUACAGGUAUAUAUAUUCAGGCAACUUUUAAGCAAAUAUCGUUGAUAAAACAAGGCAAAUUUCACCUCAGUUCUACGUAAAUAAUGCAUGCUUCCUGGACAAAGUUUUCUCUGUUGAACUGAGAAAACUUUAUAGAUUUAUAUUCCCGUUACCACGACUGCAGUUUUUGAAACUUUCUCGCGCAUACGCUUUGCGAUUUUUUCUUUCCCUUUGCUCCUUUUAAACCGUGGAAUCGAAAAUGAUUCGUAUCGAACUACGUGAGUCUAAUUUUUAAAUUGAUCACUCGUAUAUCGCACGUUUAGCGCAUAAUUUCUCUUACAACGACGACUAAUCGAUUAUUAAUCCCUAAGUGGGAAAUACAUUCGUCGUUGAUUCUCCUCGUUAGACCGUGCACUUAUUGCGAUGUGUGCAAUUGUGUGUGGUACACUUGAUCAGCCGAGUAGUAGUGUCACACAUAUAUGAGUAUGAGUGUGUGUGGUAGUACGUGCGUGCGCAGCGUCUCGUAAAACAGAAGAAUGCAACUGUUCCGUACGCACGGUGUUAAGGAAGAUGGUGAGACAAGAAGAGGCUGAGACGUGUGCAAUCUGUAUCUACGAAUAUCUCGUAAAUCUCAUAUUAAAUAAAUCUGAAACUAUUUUAAAACCAUUU